UCGUAAUUGCUGAAUGAGCGUGACUCGGGGCUCGCCCAGCCUCUGCCAGGGACACACCAGCGGCGGGACAGAGGCAGGCACUGGCAGACUGCGCCGGAGGGGCUGGCUUGCUGCUCCGCCGGCGGGGGCAGAAUUGGGGAUCCUUCCUGCGGAGAGAGGCGAGCUGACUUCACGCUGCCCCUGGAGUGAUUCUGCAUGAGCAUUGCAAAGAUGUCAUGGCACCCUCAGUACCGGAGUUCCAAGUUCCGCCAUGUGUACGGCAAGCCUGCUAGCAAGGAGAAGUGCUACGACUGCGUCCCCAUCACCUGCAGUGUGCACGACAACCACUUCUGUGCUGUCAACCCCCACUUCAUUGCUGUCGUGACAGAGUGUGCAGGUGGCGGGGCUUUCCUCGUGAUACCCAUCCAUCAGACAGGCAAGCUUGAUCCUCACUACCCCAGGGUGUGCGGGCACAGAGGAAAUGUCCUGGACAUCAAGUGGAGCCCUUUUGAUGACUUUGUAAUCGCUUCCUGUUCUGAAGAUGCCACUGUGAAAAUCUGGGACAUCCCCAAACAUUUACUAACCAGGAACAUUACCAGUGCAAGGAAGGAGCUUCUGGGUCAUGCUCGAAGGGUGGGACUCAUUGAAUGGCAUCCUACGGCCAGCAACAUUCUCUUCAGUACUGGUUAUGAUUAUAAGAUAAUGAUCUGGAACCUCGACACAAAGGAGCCCGUAAUUCAAAAUCCGGUGAAGACAAUCAGCUGUCACAGGGACGUGAUCCUCUCCAUGUCAUUCAACACAGAUGGCAGCCUGCUAGCCACUGCCUGCCGGGACAGGAAAAUACGACUCGUUGACCCACGGUCAGGAGCAGUCCUACAGGAAGCCAGCUACAAGAAUCACAGAGUGAAUAAAGUUUUGUUUCUAGGAAACAUGAAAAAGCUGCUCUCUACUGGAACAUCACGCUGGAAUAACAGGCAAAUUGCACUAUGGGAGCAGGGUGAUCUUUCUGUGCCUUUAGUUGAGGAGGAUCUGGAUGGCUCCUCGGGGCUGCUGUUCCCGUUCUAUGACUCUGACACUCACAUGCUGUAUGUGGUGAGCAAGGGUGAUGGGAACAUACGAUACUAUGAGAUAAACGCUGAUAAGCCGCACCUGAACUACCUGAUGGAAUUCCGCUCCCAUCAACCACAGAAAGGAAUCGGAAUCAUGCCAAAGAGGGGCCUUGACGUGUCGGCCUGCGAGAUCUUCCGGUUCUACAAAUUGAUCCCAGGCAAAAGCCUGAUUGAGCCCGUCUCUAUGAUUGUUCCUCGCCGGUCGGAGUCGUACCAGGAAGACAUCUACCCAAUGACAGCUGGAGCCCAGCCAGCACUCACGGCGCAGGAAUGGCUGAACGGAAUGAAUAAAGGUCCUGUCCUGGUAUCUUUGAGACCAGGCUCUGAAAUCCUGAAUUCUCUGCCACAAUUUCCUGAGAGAGAACCAUCACUGCGGUAUCAGGACAGGACAGAAAGAAUGGCAAUGAAUGAAAUUCAGAAGCAAAGUGGGAUCCAAGAAAAGAGAGGCCAGAAAAAAGUGGAGGAAAGAUUGCAGGAAAACAGACAAAUGCGGCUUUCAAAUGGCUUCGACUUAUUCGAGUGUCCUCUACCCAAAACCGAGAAUGAGCUGUUGCAGAUGUUUUACCGACAGCAGGAAGAAAUCCGGAGACUGCGAGAGCUGGUUAACCAGAGGGACGUUCAAAUCAAACAGCUAGAACUGGAGAUUAAAAACAUCCACAUGGACUCGGGCAGGUACUGAGGUGACAAGCCCACUCUGCAGCCAUGGCAUGCACUGUGCCUGCAGCAGACACCCAGGUGCCUCAUGAGAAUGACUCUUUCUAUGUUUUGCAUUGGGAAAAAGGAGGUGAAUGCAGCGCAAACUUCCCUUGGCUCCGAUAGCCACCUGCCUGCUGUCCUGGGUGCUGCAUAUGGAUCUGCUUGGCUGCUCUACAAUGUGCUGCCAGCCAGUUCUCUCACUGCAGGUGAUCCCAGGUUAAAGGUACUUCUAGAGCUGCACCAAGUCUGGGGAGACUGAGGCUGGAACAGCGCAGGAAAGGCUCUGGUCUGCGGCCUCCAUGCGACUCCCCUGUGCACCACGAGGGCACUGGAGCAGGGCUGGCUGGGCUCCGGGCCUGCAUCCUCCUUGUGACUCCCCUGUGUGCUACAGGCAUGUGGCGUUAAGCAUGGGGCCUGCUGCCAGCCUGUGCUUGGACUGCAGCUGCAGUGGCCCUGCCCUCCAUGGCAGGUGGGGAAGGCUGCCAGUGCCAGACAAGUGCUGUAUGGAGUGGAGCCCUCAGAGAGACCAUGAGACCUCCUUUCAUACGUUAGAUGUACGAUGGGCAUUUGCCUUUUACCUGGAUAGGACCAAGCAAUUUCGGAAAUCACCUAGAAUGUUUGUCUCCAUCACAGAAAGAUUUAGAGGGUCCAUGAUUUCUUCACAGAGACUAUCGAGAGGGAUCUUUGGGAAUAUUGUUGCUUGCCAUGAUCCAGCUGGUGCUUUGGCUCCCCAGAAGACAAUAGCACACUCUACCAGAUGACAGGCAACUUCCAGAGUGUUACUCAAAAACAUGCCAACAUCCAAGAGAUGCAGAGCUGUUACAUGAACAUCAGUUCAUGCCUUCACUGAACACUACCCCUUGGUCUAUACCACUAGAUCGGAUGUGGCACUUGGUUCUGCUGUACUGUCUUCAGUCUUGGACUUGAUUCCAAAGCUCCCUGUUCCCUGUGAGGAUAUUGCUUGGAAGUCACCUGAAGUGGAGCACCUAUAGGGACAUUACCUGCAAUAACUGUGGUUCUUUGAGAUGUGUCCCCCUAUGGGUGCUCCACUACCUGUCCUCUGUCCCCUCUGCUUUGGACUGUACUUUGUUGGAUGGUGGGAUAGAGAAGGAACCAAGGAUGGUUUUCCCGCACAACCCUCAUAAUGUGCCACAAGGUUGUAUAGAGCACAUGCGUGGGCUGAACAAACAGUGCUAAUGGAAAAUCUCUGAUCAAGGGCUAAAGUGGCUCAUGCACCUCUGAAAUGGAGCACCUGUAGGGACACCCAUCUAGAAGAACCACAGUUACUGCACAAGGUGAGUAACCUUUUCUUCAUAUGCUACAAACUGCUUUAUACUUGGCUUUCCUCGUCUGUGUCUCCACACUGUGGUGUAAAAGAAAUACUAGUUAUGCUGGUGGUUGUUUUGUAUGGAGUGCUGUCUGUAGAACACACCUCCCUGCAUGGUUCAGCAUCAUCUUCAUUGCAGAGGUGGCUGUGAGAUAGCACCAGCCCUUUGCAUCCACAUCACCAUUUCCAAAGGUUAGGCAAAUUAGAGUUGGGCAGAUUUUUUUUAACCAGAAAUGUGAUACUUUGUGCAGUUUAUCAUCUACACCUGAAAGCUUUGAAAAUAAAUAUUUCAAUAACCGGUUUUCAUGGAAACUUCCAGACAUAAUUGGUGUGAUAAAUCAUCAUUUUCCAACCAGCUCUGAUAAAAACCAGACACAUCAGAGACAACCUUAUUGAUAAAUACAGUAUCAUGCCUUUUCAUGUCAACACAAGGUGUAUUUUCUUUAUUUUUAGUUUUGUUUUUCAUUCAGAAUACAUUAUUUAAAUUAUUUGUCAGUGAAAAUAACAGGAAAAUCAUCUUUACACGGCAUUUUUGAGUCUUCUUAUUGAUUGUGCUUUUGUUUAUGUAUAUGACCAGAUAGCCUCGAAAUUGAUCAGGAAUCACGGUUUUUAACCAAUUAUCAAUAGACUUGUUGAUCUCAGUGUUUACUUGAAAAGAUAAUAUUUGUGUUUAUUGUUUACUAUCAACCUUUCAGAGAACAAAAAAUAUCUAAUCAGCACUUGAAUAUGAUCUUUUAAAUAAUACCUCUGUGUCAAUGUAGACAUUGAAAUCGAAUUCAUUCUGGAGCUGAAAUGUAGUCAUAAAUCUUUUACAGAAUGAAAUGUAAUGGCAGACUUUGGUUUAUGCUUUAUUAACCUGUGCCUAAAUAUGUGUGAAUGAUGAUUUGACAUUGUUUCUUAAAUUCCUUGUAUCUUUGUAAAAAAUAGAAAAUGGAAUUGUGCAAUCUGUAAAGCAAAUAUAACUAAAGAAUGAAUAGCUGGCUAGAAUUUUACUUUUUAAUAUAUUAAGGGUUUGUUUUGCUAAUUGUUAAUUUACUUAAAGAAAAAUUCAACACCAAGGACUACCUGCGCAGGCUCGGCAGUGUGUGUCUCCGACUGUUCCCUUUGCUCAUGUGGCUGGGGGGCCGUAUGUUACUUGGCAGGAACAGUACGUUAUUGUAAACCCAUGUAUAGUAUGUCUUCCUUUGAACCUUCCCACCUGGGCACCAAGUAGGGUACUCAUCUCAGUGCCCUUUAGAUUAUA